rnacentral:rRNA from 1 species
GUGGGGAAUAUUGGACAAUGGGCGAAAGCCUGAUCCAGCCAUGCCGCGUGUGUGAAGAAGGUCUUCGGAUUGUAAAGCACUUUAAGUUGGAGGAAGGGCAGUAAGGUAAUACCUUGCUGUUUUGACGUUACCGACAGAAUAAGCACCGGCUAACUUCGUUCCAGCAGCCGCGGUAAUACGAAGGGUGCAAGCGUUAAUCGGAAUUACUGGGCGUAAAGCGCGCGUAGGUGGUUCAGCAAGUUGAAGGUGAAAUCCCCGGGCUCAACCUGGGAACUGCCUCCAAAACUACUGAGCUAGAGUACGGUAGAGGGUAGUGGAAUUUCCUGUGUAGCGGUGAAAUGCGUAGAUAUAGGAAGGAACACCAGUGGCGAAGGCGACUACCUGGACUGAUACUGACACUGAGGUGCGAAAGCGUGGGGAGCAAACAGGAUUAGAAACCCGAGUAGUCC